GGACCAGUUUUCUUGGCACUUGUGGAAUUCUCUGUUUUGUUGCAUGUAAUGUGCAGCUUCAUGGCAUCACAGAAUUCCCCAGUACCAAGGAAACUGUUCC
rnacentral:pre_miRNA from 1 species